GAAUGGCCGCAUAGCACUUGGAUAAUUACAGCAGGAGGCUUGAGGCAGAGGUAUGGUGCAGAUCAACAGGUGUUUAUUUCCCCAACAAUUAACACAAACAUGGACGCCAUGAUCACAACCAGCAAACUGAACACCACAGGCAGCAUGUGGUCCAGACAGCAGUAGUGCUAGAUGGAAACUGGCAGCCUUUUAUAUCCUGCCACUGACCUUAUCUCGACCCUACCAUAGUACAAGUUAAGUCUGAAAUGUACUUAAUUUGAACAAUUAUACAAAAUACAACAACCACAUCAAAUACAUUUCUACUUCUCUACUGUUAUCUCAAUGUACUUGCAUUAUGUUACCUAAUACAAUCAAACAUAGUUAGUUUAGCAAGUACAGUCAAUUAAAGUACUCCAACACUCCUUCGCUACAUGAAACAUGGUAUCUCCCGGAACCUUUAAAAUGGGGCUCGAUACACUGGGGACUCUUUUAGCCUGAACACUCUGGAGAGGAGACACAACAGAGGUGAGACAUCAGCAACUGUCUCU